GUGCUCACUUCAACAGCACAUACGCUAAACUAGAAUGAUACAGGGAAGAGCAGUGUGGCCCCUGCCCAAGGAUGGCACACAAAUUCAUGAAGCAUUCCAUAUUAAG
ensembl:snRNA U6 U6 spliceosomal RNA